UCCUGACAUAGAAAGCAUAUGGUAAUGGA
rnacentral:piRNA from 1 species